rnacentral:pre_miRNA from 1 species
AUUGCAAUUGCUGAAUCAUAUGACAAUUGCAUACUUAAUUUUGAAAGAAAUGGCUAGACUAUUUUCCAGAAGGGCUGUCCAUUUUACAUUUCCACCAGCAAC